rnacentral:rRNA from 1 species
GACGAACGCUGGCGGCGUGCUUAACACAUGCAAGUCGAACGGAAAGGCCCUGCUUGCAGGGUACUCGAGUGGCGAACGGGUGAGUAACACGUGGGUGAUCUGCCCUGCACUUCGGGAUAAGCCUGGGAAACUGGGUCUAGUACCGGAUAGGAGCCAUAUUUAGUGUGAUGGUUGGAUAGUUUUUUCGGUGUUGGAUGAGCUCGCGGCCUAUCAGCUUGCUGGUGGAGUAAUGGCCUACCAAGGCGGCGACGGGUAGCCGGCCUGAGAGGGUGGACCGCCACACUGGGACUGAGAGGCGGCCCAGACACCGACGGGAGGGAGCAGUGGGGAAUCUUGCAGAAUGGGCGCAAGCCGGAUGCAGCGACGCCGCGUGGGGGAUGACGGCCUUCGGGUUGUAAACUCAUUUCGCUAGGGACGAAGCUUUUUGUGACGGUACCUAGAUAAGAAGCACCGGCUAACUACGUG